ACCGCCAUCGUCUAAGCGGAGAGGACAUACGCCUUCUAAGCGUACAAUCAGGGUUCGAAUCCUUGUGGCGGUGCCA
rnacentral:tRNA from 1 species